UGAGGGCCCCCCCCGGGCGAGUGGGGAUGACGGGGGCAUACGGCCCCCCGGGCCCCCCAGGCCCCCCCACCUUCCUCAUCUGGAGCCACUCCCUAGAAGAGUGGGAGGAGUUCUUGAGAACCCCCUUCUACCGCGUGCUGUCCACGGGCUGGCCAAGGAAAGGAGAGGCGGGGCCUCCGGGAUUUCAGGGCCUUCCCGGGCCCCCCGUAAGAACACCCUCCCCUGCCCCCCACAAACACAACCUCCGACAUUCACCAUCACAGUUCAACCGGUGUCAACGCCAUCGUUAUAUUUUUAUUUUAUAAUUUCCUCCAAGUUUUUUUUUUUUAUCGCGGGCCACCUUCUCGACGCCACGAGACCACGAUCUCGGGAUGUUACGGCGCGGUGCUGUUGUUGAUUGGCAACGUUGUCCGACGUUUCGCUCCGCAUGCAGUGCCAUUCUCCCAUGGUCGUCAUCGUCAAUCAGCCGUGGUCAAUCCACUGCUGGAUGGAGGCCUCGUUAAGCCGCCACCGCCUCUCACGACUGAUUACAGCGCUACAUCUCGGUGGACGUCCUCUCGGCAGGCGUUCCAUUCCUUUAGCUGCUGCUCCGUUGUUAGUCUCGACCUUGGCCUCCAUCGUACCGUCUGGCCGUGACGCGUUCUGCCCAUGCCUCGCUUUGCUUCACAGUUUGAUUGACGCCAUUGGUCCCAGGCGCGCGUCCGUGCUUCGUUGCGAACUAUUUUUGUUAAUCCAUUGUGUCGUUGGUGACCACGUGUCUAACCCGUGCGUCAUAGCAGAGAGUUCACACCCUGCCACGUGACUCAGAUAGAGCACACCCGGCCACGUGAUUCAGAUAGAGCACACCCGGCCACGUGACUCAGAUAGAGCACACCCGGCCACGUGACUCAGAUAGAGCACACCCGGCCACGUGAUUCAGAUAGAGCACACCCGGCCACGUGACUCAGAUAGAGAACACCCAGCCACGUGACUCAGCGGCAGAGCGUGCGGCUUGCAAUCCCAAGGUAACGAGUUAAAAUCUUGGUUGGGGAUUUGACUCAUCAUCCCAUGAUAUCUCUCUCUCUCCGGCAUCGAGAAAAAUAUUGCCACUUAGUGGGUAAGUCAACAACGGUUAUCAUAUGGAUAGCAUGGUCCUCGUCAAAGGAACGUGGAAUUUACGCCACCGGCCCUGCAGCAGU